GAGUUUGAUCGUGGCUCAGGAUGAACGCUGGCGGCGUGCCUAAUACAUGCAAGUAGAACGCUGAAGCUUGGUGCUUGCACCGAGCGGAUGAGUUGCGAACGGGUGAGUAACGCGUAGGUAACCUGCCUGGUAGCGGGGGAUAACUAUUGGAAACGAUAGCUAAUACCGCAUAACAGUAGAUAUUGCAUGAUAUCUGCUUGAAAGGUGCAAUUGCAUCACUACCAGAUGGACCUGCGUUGUAUUAGCUAGUUGGUGAGGUAACGGCUCACCAAGGCGACGAUACAUAGCCGACCUGAGAGGGUGAUCGGCCACACUGGGACUGAGACACGGCCCAGACUCCUACGGGAGGCAGCAGUAGGGAAUCUUCGGCAAUGGGGGAACCCUGACCGAGCAACGCCGCGUGAGUGAAGAAGGUUUCGGAUCGUAAAGCUCUGUUGUAAGAGAAGAACGAGUGUGA
rnacentral:rRNA from 1 species